UACGAAGGGGGCUAGCGUUGUUCGGAAUUACUGGGCGUAAAGCGCACGUAGGCGGCUUUGUAAGUUAGAGGUGAAAGCCUGGAGCUCAACUCCAGAAUUGCCUUUAAGACUGCAUCGCUUGAAUCAUGGAGAGGCGGGUGGAAUUCCGAGUGUAGAGGUGAAAUUCGUAGAUAUUCGGAAGAACACCAGUGGCGAAGGCGGCCCGCUGGACAUGUAUUGACGCUGAGGUGCGAAAGCGUGGGGAGCAAACAGG
rnacentral:rRNA from 1 species